CGAAGGGUGCAAGCGUUAAUCGGAAUUACUGGGCGUAAAGCGCGCGUAGGUGGUUCGUUAAGUUGGAUGUGAAAGCCCCGGGCUCAACCUGGGAACUGCAUCCAAAAACUGGCGAGCUAGAGUAUGGCAGAGGGUGGUGGAAUUUCCUGUGUAGCGGUGAAAUGCGUAGAUAUAGGAAGGAACACCAGUGGCGAAGGCGACCACCUGGGCUAAUACUGACACUGAGGUGCGAAAGCGUGGGGGAGCAAACAGGAUU
rnacentral:rRNA from 1 species